rnacentral:rRNA from 1 species
GACGAACGCUGGCGGCGUGCUUAACACAUGCAAGUCGAACGGGAUCCAUGUUGUUGCAAUACUUCGGAAGAUCUAGUGGCGAACGGGUGAGGAACACGUGAGAAACCUGCCCCGAACUUCGGGAUAACAGUUGGAAACGACUGCUAAUACCGAAUACCUCUGCGAAGUGGCAUCACUUUGCAAAGAAAGAAUUUCGGUUCGGGAGGGUCUCGCGGCCUAUCAGCUAGUUGGUGGGGUAACGGCCUACCAAGGCAUCGACGGGUAGCUGGUCUGAGAGGAUGAUCAGCCACACUGGGACUGAGACACGGCCCAGACUCCUACGGGAGGCAGCAGUGGGGAAUCUUGUGCAAUGGGCGAAAGCCUGACACAGCAACGCCGCGUGCGGGAAGAAGGCCUUCGGGUCGUAAACCGCUUUCAGCAGGAACGAAAAUGACGGUACCUGCAGAAGAAGGUGCGGCCAACUACGUGCCAGCCGCCGCUGUAA